rnacentral:rRNA from 1 species
AGAGUUUGAUCCUGGCUCAGGAUGAACGCUGGCGGCGUGCCUAAUACAUGCAAGUCGAACGGAGAUUGUAGCAAUACGGUCUUAGUGGCGAACGGGUGAGUAACGCGUUGGUAACCUGCCCCGAAGCGUGGGAUAACGGUCCGAAAGGACCACUAAUACCACAUGUGAUCCCGAGGAAUAGAUACUUGGGAUGAAAGGAGCAAUUCGCUUCGGGAGGGACCUGCGUCCCAUCAGCUAGUUGGUAGGGUAACGGCCUACCAAGGCGAUGACGGGUAGGGGACCUGAGAGGGUGGCCCCCCACAAUGGAACUGAAACACGGUCCAUACACCUACGGGUGGCAGCAGUAGGGAAUAUUGGUUAAUGUGCGAAAGCGCGAACCAGCAACGCCGCGUGUGCGAUGAAGGCCUUCGGGUCGUAAAGCACUUUUUGCGGGGAAGAGGAAGGACGGUACCUGCAGAAUAAGUCUCGGCUAACUACGUGCCAGCAGCCGCGGUAAAACGUAGGAGACGAGCGUUAUCCGGAUUUACUGGGCGUAAAGCGCGUGCAGGCAGCAUGGCAAGUUGGAUGUGAAAGCUCCCGGCUUAACUGGGAGAGGUCGUUCAAUACUGCCAGGCUUGAGAGUGGUAGAGGGAAGCGGAAUUCCGGGUGUAGUGGUGAAAUGCGUAGAUAUCCGGAGGAACACCAGUGGCGAAAGCGGCUUCCUGGCCCAUUUCUGACGCUCAGACGCGAAAGCUAGGGUAGCAAACGGGAUUAGAGACCCCGGUAGUCCUAGCCGUAAACGAUGUGAACUUGGCGUUGGCGGGUUUAAAUCCGUCAGUGCCGUAGCUAACGCGAUAAGUUCACCGCCUGGGGACUACGGCCGCAAGGUUAAAACUCAAAGGAAUUGACGG